UACACAUGCAGUCGAGCGGGGAGANGUNGCUUGCUNNNUNACCUAGCGGCGGACGGGUGAGUAAUGCUUAGGAAUCUGCCUAUUAGUGGGGGACAACAUUCCGAAAGGAAUGCUAAUACCGCAUACGCCCUACGGGGGAAAGCAGGGGAUCUUCGGACCUUGCGCUAAUAGAUGAGCCUAAGUCAGAUUAGCUAGUUGGUGGGGUAAAGGCCUACCAAGGCGACGAUCUGUAGCGGGUCUGAGAGGAUGAUCCGCCACACUGGGACUGAGACACGGCCCAGACUCCUACGGGAGGCAGCAGUGGGGAAUAUUGGACAAUGGGCGCAAGCCUGAUCCAGCCAUGCCGCGUGUGUGAAGAAGGCCUUUUGGUUGUAAAGCACUUUAAGCGAGGAGGAGGCUACUUGGAUUAAUACUCUAGGAUAGUGGACGUUACUCGCAGAAUAAGCACCGGCUAACUCUGUGCCAGCAGCCGCGGUAAUACAGAGGGUGCGAGCGUUAAUCGGAUUUACUGGGCGUAAAGCGUGCGUAGGCGGCUUUUUAAGUCGGAUGUGAAAUCCCUGAGCUUAACUUAGGAAUUGCAUUCGAUACUGGGAAGCUAGAGUAUGGGAGAGGAUGGUAGAAUUCCAGGUGUAGCGGUGAAAUGCGUAGAGAUCUGGAGGAAUACCGAUGGCGAAGGCAGCCAUCUGGCCUAAUACUGACGCUGAGGUACGAAAGCAUGGGGAGCAAACAGGAUUAGAUACCCUGGUAGUCCAUGCCGU
rnacentral:rRNA from 1 species